CUUGUUUCAUAUUUUAUCCAUGAGGGGGAUGUUGUGCUUGCUUAAAAAAUAGGAAAAUGAGAAAAAAAAUAGUUAUGCUUAAUGAAAUAGUUGUUUCACAGCUUAAUUUAUUUUUGUUGGACUCUGGUCUCUAGAAGUAUUAGGAUACCAAUUAAUUUAGUUGGUAAAGUUGCUACAGGCUUCGUACAAAAGGCCCAGGUUUCAUUUAUAUGAUAACCUCAAUGUUUUAUUAGACUUUCUCCCCUCUUAAUUAUCAAAAAUGAUUUAUAGAGUUAUAUUAGAUUGAGGAUCAAAGCAAUUAAUUACAAUUCAUAUACAAUGUCGUUGCACCUCCUAUAACCUGUGCGGCUCGUGUUGGGUGGCAUGUUCAUGUGGAGUGCUUGGUUUUCGAUCGAGGCUAUAUUGAAGCAAAUCUCAUCCAUCAGUUGUAUCACACUUUACCCAUUAGGUGUGAGGAAUAUCUACUUCAACAACAAGAAAAAGUUGAAUAAGAAUUGUUUUAUACCUAAUGAAACAAUUGUGCCAUAAAUUACUUCUAUUUUCACUUCUACAAGUUUUGGAAUAAUAUUACAUUGGAGAAAAUCGAGUUUUUUCUUUAAUCCUGCAGAGAUCCAAACCGUGAAGCCCUGCCCACUCUCUCACCAUUUUUAACCCCAAUAACACCCCCCCACACCCCAAUCCACUACACCCUUUUUCCUGCCCCAUCAUGCUGGAUUUUCCUAAACAGGCCCCGAGUGUUUCCAUCCAUGAAAAACAAAAAAGAAUAAGGGAAAUGAUGGCCUUAUGACAAGAAAAACUGAUGACGACUUUCCUCUCAUGAAGGCAUAUAUAAUUUUCACUUGCAUAUUUCCUUGUUAAUUUCUCUUUUUCAGAAGCCAUUUAUCAGAGGAGAUGAGCCAUGCUGAAAAUUAAACAUUUAAGCUAUGAAACAUUCGACUUUGUUAAUAAAUAAACAUCAUAGUUCCGAUAUACAAAGGCUUCUCUUAGCUCAGGUAACAUUUAAAAAUGAAAGUGGUUGCAAAAUUAUUUUCUAACCCAAGGUCCUAAAUGACAUGUUUCAAGCAUGAUUAUAAUGAACAGGCCCUUUUUCCCUUUUCCUCUUUUCCACAUCUCGUGACUGCCAUACCCUGUAGGUGUUGAGCUGUUGUUACAAAACUUUUCCACUUCAGGAGUCUCAAUUCACAAAAGGAGUUUAAAAUGAACAUCUAUAAACCAAUGAAAGCAUAUGAAGAAAAGGAUUCCAGUAUAAACUGGCAGUCAAUGUACUACCAAUCAUACAAAAGGUUGUUAAAAU
rnacentral:lncRNA from 1 species